rnacentral:tRNA from 1 species
GAAAUAAAAAAAAUAGAAAACUUCUAAUUUUCUUAAAAAUGUAAAAUCAUUUUUAUUUCU